GGGAACACAUGUAUACCUGUGGAGGAUUCAUUUUGAUAUUUGGCAAAACUAAUACAAUUAUGUAAAGUUUAAAAUAAAAUUGAACAAAAAAAUAAAAAUAAUCAUAUGGGCAACAAAAUCACUUCCUUCUUAUACCUUGUAUUUUAUGCUGAAUUCCAUGUUAACUUUGUCAGGAUGUCCUAAAUAGUUCUACAGUCAACUUUUAAAAAAUUUAAUACGAUACAUUGUGUGUGUGUGUGUGUGUAUAUAUAUAUUUAUACACAUAGAUAAAUGUAUAUAAUUAUAAAGAUUUGGCAAUUACAGCUAUUUUUUACUCCACAGUAAUUGGUGCUUUAGUUGCUUAAAUGGAAGCACCAGCUGAAAAUCCUACCUUGAAAAAUUAACAUCUGGAUAAUCUCUUAUGGUCUCCUCUACAGCUUUGGCUGGUAGAAGACCAAAAGGGAGCACUGAGAAUUGAAAGUGCUUAUUUUUCAUAUUCUAGAAAGGUAAAGGCUGUUCUUCAGUCAAAGUCCCAAGUUGUGAACAAGUAACCACUGGUAAUCAAGAUAACUUCCAAUUAAUUCACAAGCUCUGAAAAUGAAUCAGUGACAUCACACCAAUGACUCGGGUUCCAAAAAUGAGCAAGUUGUCAGCAGCCUCACCACAGUCUUAUGAAACUGGGCAAAUUGAUGACAACGUUACAUUUGUGGACAACAGCUGGUCAAAAGUGCCUCGCUCCAGUGACCACACCGCAGCUCUCCCUCUCCCUGAGCCAUUGAGGACACAGUGAGAAGGCAGCUAUUUUCAAGCCAGAAAGAGAACUCUCACCAGUAACUGAAUUUGUUGGUACCUUGAUCUUGGACAUCUCAGCUUCUAAAACUGUGAGAAAUAAAUGUUUUUUGUUUAAGCC